GUCCUAGCCGUAAACGAUGGACACUAGGUGUUGGUGGUAUCAACCCCGCCAGUGCCGUAGCUAACGCAUUAAGUGUCCCGCCUGGGGGAGUACGGCCGCAAGGCUAAAAACUCAAAGGAAUUGACGGGGGCCCGCACAAGCAGCGGAGCGUGGGGGUUUAAUUCGACGCAACGCGAAGAACCUUACCAGGGCUUGACAUGGUCAGGAGGUCGGCGGAAAACGUCGGCGCCUCGCAAGGGGGCCUGAUCACAGGUGUUGCAUGGCUGUCGU
rnacentral:rRNA from 1 species